ensembl:lncRNA
CUGGGAUUCAAUCCAAUACUGUACAGACACAUAGGCUGGGAUUCAAUCCAAUACUGUAUAGACACAUAGACUGGUAUUCAAUCCAAUACUGAAUAGACACACAGGCUGGGAUUCAAUCCAAUACUGUAUUGACAGACACAUAGGUUGGGAUACAAUCCAAUACUGUAUAGACACAUAGGUUGGGAUACAAUCCAAUACUGUAUUGACAGACACAGGCUGGGAUUCAAUCCAAUACUGUAUAGACACAUAGGCUGGGAUUCAAUCCAAUACUGUAUAGACAGACAGACAGGCUGGGAUUCAAUCCAAUACUGUAUAGACAGACACACAGACUGGGAUUCAAUCCAAUACUGUAUAGACAGACACAUUGGCUGGGAUUCAAUCCAAUACUGUACAGACAGACACAUUGGCUGGGAUUCAAUCCAAUACUGUACAGACAGACACACAGGCUGGGAUUCAAUCCAAUACUGUAUAGACAGACACACAGGCUGGGAUUCAAUCCAAUACUGUAUAGACACACACAGGCUGGGAUUCGUAAGGUCGCUAGUUCAACUCCAGGAGCAGACAAGGUGAAGCAUUUGUCUGUGUGCCCUUGAGCAAGGCACUCAACCUCAAUUGCUCCAGGGAUGUCAUUGAUCAUGUCUGACCCUGUCUAAAGACCCCAGCUCUCUGUGGGUGUUGAUAAUGUCUGACCCUGUCUAAAGACCCCAGCUCUCUGUGGGUGUUGAUAAUGUCUGACCCUGUCUAAAGACCCCAGCUCUCUGUGGGUGUUGAUAAUGUCUGACCCUGUCUAAAGACCCCAGCUCUCUGUGGGUGUUGAUAAUGUCUGACCCUGUCUAAAGACUCCAGCUCUCUGUGGGUGUUGAUAAUGUCUGACCCUGUCUAAAGACCCCAGCUCUCUGUGGGUGUUGAUAAUGUCUGACCCUGUCUAAAGACCCCAGCUCUCUGUGGGUGUUGAUAAUGUCUGACCCUGUCUAAAGACCCCAGCUCUCUGUGGGUGUUGAUAAUGUC